CAGGCAGAUCCCAAAUCUUUGGUCCUUAAUGAUAGAGUUCUAUCAGCAGCAGAUUUUUUUUAUGUGUAGUUAAGUCAUGAUUCCUCACACCGUUUACCAGCAUUUACAUAUUGUCUCCAAAUUCUCUUCCAAUCAACAGGGUUUCAUGCACGAUCUUAACAAGUGGCAUUUGGUGGCUUCCAUGACAAUGGAGAUGAGAAUUUGGUCUGGGUUUUAUUUUGAACUUUUAAGGAUUGGUCUAAAGGUGCUGUUAUCUGCUGUUACGUUCAACUAUGUUGUAAUCCCCUUGAGCCAUGAGGAGAGGCAGGUGAAAAAUAAAAUGUUUUGUUGUUGUUGUUGUUGUUGUUGUUGUUAUUGUCAUUGUUAUUCACAAAGCUAUUCAUGUUUGUCU
rnacentral:lncRNA from 11 species